GUUCUCUCUCUCAAGAACGCGUCGUGAGGAGCAGUGACUCUCUCUUUCUGAUCGUGGUAGUGUACAGGUGAGCCCAAGCAUAGAUAGGCGUCGUCUGGUACGAGUCCCACACUAGACAACAUGCCGUUCGUACCCCAAAACUCCCAACCAAGUUCUGGGUUCUGCAGUGCCGCAGGCCAGCAAUGCCCCAGCUGGAACUAUGGGUGUGCCGAGCAUAGAAGAUUGCGAAGGCACAUCCAGUCGCAGUGGAAGAAGAGGAACAGUGAAAGUAUGGAGCAAUGAAGCCUUGUAUUUCACUUUCAUGUGACUUGAAAAGUGGAUUUGAUCUUUACCUAGAUGGCUCUUGAUACUUGGACUGAAGAAAGUGGAGUGUAAUCCUGGUUUCGGAAAGCAGCAGACUUCACUAAGGGAUGAAGGGCAUCUUGGAAUUUGCAAGAUGGUGCAGAAUUCAUGGAAGUAUAAAUGGACUGGCCCCCCAUCAGUUGCAAAUUGUCAGGGUGAGCUGUGUGAAGUGAGGACCCUUGUCUACAAAGUUUUUCAAGGGAGGUUUAAACUCUGAAGUCUGAGAUUAACUACAGAAAACCACUAUACUGAAGUUGGCCCUUUGUAAUCCUCACGUACAGAUGGAGACGAUCAACCUUGAAGUGGGGAUAUAGUACAGCAAUGCUCCAUAGAUCUGCACUGUUUUUAGUUACAGUUGCUGGUCGUCUUGAUUAUGGAAAUAUUCCAGUAAUUUCACUAGAUGUUGCAGCAAUAGUGGCAACCUGUUCUGUACUUCAUCUACUGUGGGGGGGAGGGAUUGAACUUGUUUCCAAAAAUAUACGAUUUGAAACAG